GCUGAUCCCUGGAGCCAGCAUUACACUUCAGCCAUUAACACCAGACAGAAGGAUAUCUACAUCAUCAUAUGGAAGGAAACGUAAAUGGAUGGAGACACAUAUGGAUCACAUUAGUUUACUGUAAAGCUACGUCUUAGUUGGUGCUUAUCUUGGCGAGAGCCGAGUUCAAAUCAGCAUGAAGUUUUAACAUCUACUCUCGUGUAAUGGAAAUCCUGUCUGAUGGAUGCUAAUGUUGUCGUUAUUAACUGUUACACGACUCAAGUACAAAGGGAAUAUGAAUGGAAUAAGUAUACGGUUGGACUGGAAUAUACCUUUUAUUGUAUUACCAGUGCUGAUGCAUUGUAAUUUGUCUGUCUCCAGAGCUUGCUUUCUCUUUCCCCCAGAUCCAAAAGAAAGAUUGCAGAGAAUUAAUGAUUAAUCAAAUUAAAAUUUGUUAUGUGACUUCUCCUCUUGUACAUCCGUGAGUAGAAAAAAUUGUGAUUCCGAACUCUGUUGUAGAUUACAAAAAAGAUAUUUUAUUUGGUACAGUACAGCAGCUGGGUACUCUUAAGCACAAGUUAUAAUAGAAUCCACAAGACAAUACAAUGUUGGGAUUAAUAUACCUUCCCUUAUGACAUCACCCCUUAUUCCUUAACCUAUCAGAAAAUACAAUUACAUACUGAUGCAAGUUUUACAAGCCUAUCAACCAUAAUAUUAUUGAUCACGUGGGGCUCACUUUUCUAAGUUAAUGCAACUUCAAAACAUCCUAAGAUGUUCACUCACAAGGCAAUAAAACUAUAGUUGAAAGGGGAGGAAGAAAUAAGAAAGAUGGAAUAAGCCUUUUGCCUAUUUCCUUUUGAAGUUAAAACUGUGGGUAAGGAUGUUUAGCCAAAGGUGUCAUUUCCCUAAACACAGAGUACAAUUACCUUUUAACUUAUCAUAAAAUUUAGGGUACACUAAAAACUAAAAACUUCACUGCCAUCUGGCUGCUUUACUUAAUAUUGAACCCUUAUUGUCUUCAAAUUAGCUUAGUCUAUGAAAUCUAGAUAAUUUUUAAACUAUCCAGUUUCUCUAAAGUAUAAGUUUAUCCAACAGGUAUCACCUGCAGACACUCCAAUAAGUGAGGUUCUCAUCUACUAGUAGCCGGGUCGGAAGACUAAUGCUCUUGUAGGGAAAGGCCGAAUGCAGGGUGUAUGAAUUAGCCCUGUUCAGAGAGUGAGACAGGGAGGGGAGGGCAAGUAUUGAGGAUGGACUGUUUUCACUGUUUCUCCAAGAUCGACGACACAGAGGGAGGGAGGAAGCACCCUCUGGAGGCGGGCACGGGAUCUGGAUGCAAAGUAUUGGCAAGGAGCCAGUUGGACUUUUUAUGGAGAAGACCACUUUGGAGAAGAUUGCCUUUUGUACUUUGAGGAACGAGACACUCUGUGGCCAUUGAAGAAUUCCUAAUGUUUUGUCUAUGGAUCCUAUGGGAUGUGUCAUGACAUGAUUCUAAGCAUCCUAAUAAUUAACAUUUGAGAAGCCUGACAAGUAUCUAUACAUUUCACGCCGAGGACGAGACCAGUAGCUGAAGCUGCGGAGCCAGCAAAAACCCCUGGAUCACUUUCCCCGGCACGCCACCCUGCACUUGGAGCACAGGUGGACUGUAAGUAUUGGACACUGUUAUUGUAUUAUUGGACUGUGUUUUCUGGACUGCAGUCCUGUGUGUGUGUGUGUACAACUCGUACCAUUGCUGGUAGAGGGGUCGGAAUAUAA